rnacentral:rRNA from 1 species
UAACGUUCCCGGGCCUUGUACCACACCGCCCGUCAAGCCAUGGAAGCUGGGGGUGCCUGAAGUCGGUGACCGCAAGGAGCUGCCUAGGGUAAAACGUAGUAACGUAGGGCU